AGAGUUUGAUCAUGGCUCAGAUUGAACGCUGGCGGAAUGCUUUACACAUGCAAGUCGAACGGCAGCACGGGAGCUUGCUCCUGGUGGCGAGUGGCGAACGGGUGAGUAAUGUAUCGGAACGUACCCCGUCGUGGGGGAUAACUCUCCGAAAGGAGAGCUAAUACCGCAUACGACCCGAGGGUGAAAGCGGGGGACCUGGGGUAACCUGGGCCUCGCGCGAUGGGAGCGGCCGAUAUCGGAUUAGCUAGUUGGUGGGGUAAAGGCCUACCAAGGCGACGAUCCGUAGCGGGUCUGAGAGGACGACCCGCCACACUGGAACUGAGACACGGUCCAGACUCCUACGGGAGGCAGCAGUGGGGAAUUUUGGACAAUGGGCGCAAGCCUGAUCCAGCCAUUCCGCGUGAGUGAAGAAGGCCUUCGGGUUGUAAAGCUCUUUCAGCAGGAACGAAACGGUGGGUCUUAAUACGGCCUGCUAAUGACGGUACCUGCAGAAGAAGCACCGGCUAACUACGUGCCAGCAGCCGCGGUAAUACGUAGGGUGCGAGCGUUAAUCGGAAUUACUGGGCGUAAAGCGUGCGCAGGCGGCGACAUAAGACAGAUGUGAAAUCCCCGGGCUCAACCUGGGAACGGCGUUUGUGACUGUGUGGCUAGAGUGUAGCAGAGGGGGGUGGAAUUCCACGUGUAGCAGUGAAAUGCGUAG
rnacentral:rRNA from 1 species